GAUCCUUACUCAGGAUGAACGCUGGCGGCGUGCUUAACACAUGCAAGUCGAACGAAGCGCUUGAGAUUGAUUCUUCGGAAGAUUUCUCUUGUGACUUAGUGGCGGACGGGUGAGUAACGCGUGGGUAACCUGCCUCACACAGGGGGAUAACAGUUGGAAACGACCGCUAAUACCGCAUAACCCGCUAGGGCCGCAUGGCCCGGACGGAAAAGAUUUAUCGGUGUGAGAUGGACCCGCGUUGGAUUAG
rnacentral:rRNA from 1 species